rnacentral:lncRNA from 1 species
CGAUAACUCUUCAAGGAAGACUGAGUUUAUAGGAAUAUCUAGACUCAGAAAAAUAAUUUGAUCAUUCAGCAGGAACACAUUUGCCCCUUAGUCCUGAUGAGCAUGCAGACCAUUAUUAGCAAGGAAGCUAGCUUGUUUUUUGCACCAAAGUUACCAGGUGAUGCUGAUGCUCCUGCUGACACUCCUCACCCAGGGAUCACACUUUGA